rfam:Schistosoma mattheei strain Denwood, Zambia genome assembly, scaffold: SMTD_scaffold0012130
UGCUGAGGAGUCCCAUACCAGGACGAAACGGCCGUCCA